rnacentral:rRNA from 1 species
AUUGAACGCUGGCGGCAGGCCUAACACAUGCAAGUCGAACGGUAGCACAGAGAGCUUGCUCUCGGGUGACGAGUGGCGGACGGGUGAGUAAUGUCUGGGAAACUGCCCGAUGGAGGGGGAUAACUACUGGAAACGGUAGCUAAUACCGCAUAAUGUCGCAAGACCAAAGAGGGGGACCUUCGGGCCUCUUGCCAUCGGAUGUGCCCAGAUGGGAUUAGCUUGUUGGUGAGGUAAUGGCUCACCAAGGCGACGAUCCCUAGCUGGUCUGAGAGGAUGACCAGCCACACUGGAACUGAGACACGGUCCAGACUCCUACGGGAGGCAGCAGUGGGGAAUAUUGCACAAUGGGCGCAAGCCUGAUGCAGCCAUGCCGCGUGUGUGAAGUAGGCCUUCGGGUUGUAAAGCACUUUCAGCGGGGAGGAAGGCGAUACGGUUAAUAACCGUGUUGAUUGACGUUACCCGCAGAAGAAGCACCGGCUAACUCCGUG